rnacentral:rRNA from 1 species
ACGGGAGGCAGCAGUGGGGAAUAUUGGGCAAUGGGCGAAAGCCUGACCCAGCGACGCCGCGUGAGGGAAGAAGGUCUUCGGAUUGUAAACCUCUUUCAGCAGGGAAGAAGCAUGACGGUACCUGCAGAAGAAGUCACGGCUAACUACGUGCCAGCAGCCGCGGUAAUACGUAGGUGGCGAGCGUUAUCCGGAAUUGCUGGGUGUAAAGGGUGUGUAGGCGGAGAAGCAAGUCAGGCGUGAAAUUCAGAGGCUCAACCUUUGGACUGCGCUUGAAACUGUUUUCCUUGAGUGUUGGAGAGGUAAACGGAAUUCCUGGUGUAGUAGUGAAAUGCGUAGAUAUCAGGAGGAACACCGGUGGCGAAGGCGGUUUACUGGACUGUAACUGACGUUGAGGCUCGAAAGCGUGGGGAGCAAACAGGAUUAGAUACCCUGGUA